UAGGGAAUCUUCGGCAAUGGGCGAAAGCCUGACCGAGCAACGCCGCGUGAGCGAUGAAGGCCUUCGGGUCGUAAAGCUCUGUUGUUAGAGAAGAACAAGUACGAGAGUAACUGCUCGUACCUUGACGGUACCUAACCAGAAAGCCACGGCUAACUACGUGCCAGCAGCCGCGGUAAUACGUAGGUGGCAAGCGUUAUCCGGAAUUAUUGGGCGUAAAGCGCGCGCAGGCGGUCUCUUAAGUCUGAUGUGAAAGCCCACGGCUCAACCGUGGAGGGUCAUUGGAAACUGGGAGACUUGAGUGCAGGAGAGAAAAGUGGAAUUCCACGUGUAGCGGUGAAAUGCGUAGAGAUGUGGAGGAACACCAGUGGCGAAGGCGGCUUUUGGCCUGUAACUGACGCUGAGGCGCGAAAGCGUGGGGAGCGAAACAGGAUUAGAUACCCUGGUAGUCCACGCCGUAAACGAUGAGUGCUAGGUGUUGGGGGUUCC
rnacentral:rRNA from 1 species